GAAUGUCAAAGUCAUUCUCCUUUUUGCCCCCUGCCCCCAACUCAGUCUCUUAAGCAUCAUUCAUACCAAGAGGCCAGCUGUCCAGCCUCUGCUUGAACCUCUCUAGGGACAGGGAGCUCCUUACUGUGCUCACCUUCUUUCCGAUCCAGUUCUGUAGCACAUCGUGGUACCCAGCAAACCUCUGUCCUCUAAUCCUGUAGUACCCGUGCCCACUGCUGAGCCCAGGUAGGAGUCAGGAGUCUGGGGUUUAAGGUGCAACUUUUGCCCCUCUCCUCUCUGCUGUUGUGUGGUGGUAAAGGAAGACCAAGGCUUGUCCUGGGCAGGGAUUGCCUGUAGCCCAGCUUCUUCUGGGAUGUAGGGAGCUUGUUGGCUUUUGCUCAGAGGUCAGGGGCCAGAGACUGUGUGUCCCUGUCCCCCUGGGUUCGGGUGGGGCGCUGUUACACCACAGGAGAAAAUUUGGAUAAGAGGGGAAGGGUCAGGUGGUUUAGGAUGACCAUUCCACUCCUGGGCCCUCCAUCUGGUUGCCUUUUUCCUGAGAUUUAGGGACAUAUGGCCACCCUGGAACCCAGUGGGCACCCGUCCAGUGCCUCAUGGUGCCAGGCACUUGUCCGCUCGGGCUGGGGGGAGAGGAGAACAAGAAUGAUGAUUUUUUUCCCUGAGGCCUACUUGCCUCAAAGCCUGGACUUGCCUAGAGACAAGCAAUAUCUCAGCAGUGUGGGAUAUUUUUUUCAUUCCCCCUUUCCCAUCUGGCCUCCCCUAGUUCCGGGUGCUUGGAAGAGGGGUGCGCCCCAGCCCCUAUCUGCAGUCCUCAUGGCCCAGCAUAUCUUUACGAGCCCCCAAUCCACCCCUCGUCCCUUCCACACUAGACAGCUCUCCUGGACCCACCUAUGGUUUCUCAACCUCCACGCUUGGUUCUCACUGUCCCUCCCGCCAGGACAGUUGGUGUGGUGGGUGCCCAUGAAGAGUGGGGUGCGGGGUAAGUCCGCACCCUGGCCUCCAAGUGGGGGAGCAUCCUGCCCAGCCUGGUGUUUGCUCACCUGGCUCCUGCUCUGCACUUUGUAA
rnacentral:lncRNA from 1 species